rnacentral:tRNA from 1 species
GGAAAUGUGGCCGAUGAUAAGGUUUACUUUGAUAGAGUAAUAUAUAGGGACCCAAACCCCCUCAUUUCC